rnacentral:rRNA from 1 species
UACAGAGGGCUCAAGCGUUGUUCGGAUUCAUUGGGCGUAAAGGGUGCGUAGGUGGCGCUGUAAGUCAGGUGUGAAAUUUCGGAGCUUAACUCCGAAACUGCAUUUGAUACUGCGGUGCUUGAGGACUGGAGAGGAGACUGGAAUUCACGGUGUAGCAGUGAAAUGCGUAGAGAUCGUGAGGAAGACCAGUGGCGAAGGCGGGUCUCUGGACAGUUCCUGACACUGAGGCACGAAGGCCAGGGGAGCAAACGGG